UUUAAUAGUUGCAUAUGGGUUGUUUUGCAGGUUUACAAAGGAUGGAGUGUUAGCUUCCAUUUCAUCACCAAGUUUACAAUUUUGAUGAAACAACACAAAAGGUACAUUUUUUUUGUUUACUUAUAUCUGAUUCAUCCAUCAUCUAUAAUCAUCAUAUUAGUUUUUUAAAUCAACUUAUGUUACUAGACCUUGGGUAACCAUAUUAAAAAUCAUUUUAGGUUAUUAGACCUCAGCAAUUUAAUGAUUUCUUAUUACUUGAUCAGAUUUCAUUGAUUGUUUGUAGUUUUGGUGAAUUAUAGUGUUGUUGGUUGAUUCCAUACGAGUAAGCGACUGUUUCUUUUUUAUUUUAUUGGCUAAGCACUUGAUAUUGACCCCAUUAAAGGUUUUUUUCCUGAAAAACACCCUCACUUUUACACCAGUCAUGAUAGGCAUCAGAGUAAACUAUCAAAGAAGCAUCGAACUCUUAAUGUUUUCUUGGUAGUUGGUGAUUGUAUCUUAGUUGGAUUACAGCCAAUUUUGGUGUACAUAUGUAAGAUGGAUGGGAAGUUGAGCUUUAAUGCUAUUAGUGUGAAUUUUUUGACAGAAGUUGCAAAGGUUACAAAUUAGAAGGCUGGAGGCAAGCCACUUCUUUCAGUCCCCGAUUUUAUACAGGUUUGUCUUGAGGGAAGGUCUGCUGGACAAUGGUAACUAAACAUGAUUAAGAAAACCAUUGAUGAAGGUUCAACUUUUCAUUGUGUUGGUUCUUGACAAUGCUCAUUGGAGUAUGCUGGUUAAAAUUUUCAGUUGUUAUUUUCCUAUUUCUUUUGGCUCUUUUGUAAAUGAUGAAACAUCCAAAAAAAACAUCAAGCUUCUAUAAUAAUCGACGGCCUCCAAUCCUCGCAGCGCGGGGUUUCA